rnacentral:rRNA from 1 species
AUUGAACGCUGGCGGCAUGCUUUACACAUGCAAGUCGAACGGUAACAGGCCUUCGGGUGCUGACGAGUGGCGAACGGGUGAGUAAUGCAUCGGAACGUGCCCAGAGGUUGGGGAUAACGCAGCGAAAGCUGUGCUAAUACCGCAUGUGAUCUGAGGAUGAAAGCGGGGGACCAGGCAGCAAUGUUUGGCCUCGCGCCUUUGGAGCGGCCGAUGUCAGAUUAGGUAGUUGGUGGGGUAAAGGCCUACCAAGCCGACGAUCUGUAGCUGGUCUGAGAGGACGACCAGCCACACUGGGACUGAGACACGGCCCAGACUCCUACGGGAGGCAGCAGUGGGGAAUUUUGGACAAUGGGCGCAAGCCUGAUCCAGCAAUGCCGCGUGCGGGAAGAAGGCCUUCGGGUUGUAAACCGCUUUUGUACGGAACGAAAAGGCUCUGGCUAAUACCUGGGGCUGAUGACGGUACCGUAAGAAUAAGCACCGGCUAACUACGUG